rnacentral:rRNA from 1 species
ACUCAAAGGAAUUGACGGGGGCCCGCACAAGCAGUGGAGCAUGUGGUUUAAUUCGAUGCUACGCGAAAAACCUUACCAGGGCUUGACAUCCCGGUGAAAUCCCUUAGAAAUAGGGGACCCCUUCGGGCACCGGUGACAGGUGGUGCAUGGCUGUCGUCAGCUCGUGUCGUGAGAUGUUGGAUUAAGUUCCGCAACGAGCGCAACCCUCGUUUCCAGUUGCCAUCAUUAAGUUGGGCACUCUGGAGAGACCGCCGGCGUCAAGCCGGAGGAAGGUGGGGAUGACGUCAAGUCAUCAUGCCCCUUACGCCCUGGGCUACACACGUGCUACAAUGGGCAGUACAACGGGCUGCUACCUCGCGAGAGGAUGCGAAUCCCCAAAGCUGCUCUCAGUUCGGAUUGCAGGCUGCAACUCGCCUGCAUGAAGCUGGAAUUGCUAGUAACCGUGGAUCAGCAUGCCGCGGUGAAUACGUACUCGGGCCUUGUACACACCGCCCGU